rnacentral:lncRNA from 1 species
CAUCGUCAUGCAAAUCUGGACUCACAUUUUUGAACCUCAGCUUCUUCACCCAGAUAAUUAUGACAACAGUCCUCACCUCCAAGGAUUGAUCUGUGCCUCAGCCCUGAACCUAAUGAUGGGCAAGAAAAGAUAUUCCUGCUUCUACCCUACACAACUCUAAGGGGACAGCACACUGAAACCCUCCCAAACUGUCAAGAAGAUCUGAAAAAGUCAAUCACUUUUGCUUUGCACAUAUUUGAUAUUAGCACAGCAUGAAUCCCAGUUUGAGCCCGCAUUAAGUUAAGCCUAGGAUUCGACAUGGGCCCAUGCCUAAGACCUAGGGAAAGGAACUGCAACGGAACAAUGUCCGAAACCCAAGGCUGCUUAUUACAAUCUCGUUCAGAACAAAAGUGCAACCAGGCCGAGCGCGGUGGCUCACGC